CGCGGCGCGGCUAGUGGGCUGGCUGGCUGGCCAGGCCGGGACGCGCUCUGCCGCGGGGCAGCCCAGGGCGGAACGAGCAUGCGGGGGGACUGGGUGGCCGGGCGGCGGGCGCUGCGGCCGUCGCCGCUGCUGUUGCUGCUGUUGCUGCCGUUGCUGCUGCUGUCCCGGGCCGUGGCGCUGCAUCCAGGAGAGCUCUUCCCCUACGGGCUGUCGCGGGGAGACCAGCUUCUGCAGGAAGGCGACGACGAAAGCUCAACCGCGGUGAAGCUGGCGCUUCCCCUGCGCUUCUAUGAUGCCCAAUUUAGCGACCUCUAUGUGGGCACCAACGGCAUCAUCUCCACCCAGGACUUCCCCAGGGAAACCCAGUAUGUGGAUGAUGAUUUCCCCACAGACUUUCCAGCCAUAGCCCCCUUUCUGGCCGACAUCGACACGAGUCACGGCAGGGGCCGGGUCCUGUACCGAGAAGACACCUCCCCGGCGGUGCUGGACCUGGCCGCCCGCUACGUGCGCGCAGGCUUCCCGCGCGCCGCCGCGCACUUCGCCCCCACCCACGCCUUCCUGGCCACCUGGGAGCAGGUGGGCGCCUACGAGGAGGCCACGCGCAGGGCCCCGCCCUCGGGAGAGCUGAAUACCUUCCAGGCAGUUUUGGCAUCUGAUGAGUCUGAUAGCUAUGCCCUCUUCCUUUAUCCUGCCAAUGGCCUUCAGUUCUUUGGAACCCGCCCCAAAGAAUCUUACAAUGUCCAGCUCGAGCUUCCAGCCCGCGUGGGCUUCUGCAGAGGGGAGGUCGAUGACCUAAAGAGAGAGGGACCAUAUUUCAGCUUGACUAGCACUGAACAGUCUGUGAAAAAUCUCUACCAACACAGCAACCUGGGGAUUCCUGGAGUGUGGGCUUUUCACAUUGGCAGUACCUCCGGGUUGGACAAUGUCAGGCCAGCGACAGUUGGAGGAGACCUUUCCAAAACCCACCCAUCGGCUCCCCUGGGACAUUCCUUCAGCCACGCUGCAGCCCUGGAAGGUGACUACACUGAGGACAAUUUGGAUUAUUAUGAUGAGAAUGAAGAGGAAGUCGAAUACCCGCCUGGUGAACCAGAGGAGGCAUCAAAUGGCCACAGCACAAUGGAUGUGUCCUUCCACUCGAAAGCUGAUUCGAGGCAGUUGGGAGGUGGGAUCUCUCCUCCAGUUUCCGACCUGGCCUCCUCUUUGCCACAUCCAACAUCUAGUGAUGGGUCUAACACUGAAUCUGCCACCUUGGACCCUCAAACCAAAGAGAGGAGACACCAUGGGGACAUAGAUGCCCCAGAUUUAAAAGGCCGAGCUGAGUCUUCUGAACAGCCAGUGACCCCUGCUCCACCAGAGACAGGAGAUUCACUGGGUCCUUCCCGGGAAGGCUCCCCUCCCUACCCAGCCGGAGGGGCACUGCCCACAGAGAGGCAAGUUCCUCCAGCCCAUCCUGGAAGAGAGGCGGUUCUUCCAAAUUACCCUGGGCUGGAUCACGCUCCGCCACCCGGUCGGGGGAGGCAGGUGGUCGGGGUAGAGGACGACAUCAGUUCCAACACUGAGGUCUUCACGUACAAUGCUGCCCACAAGGAGACCUGUGAACACAACCACGAGCGCUGCUCCCGGCACGCCUUCUGCACCGACUACGCCACCGGCUUCUGCUGCCACUGCCAGUCCAGGUUUUACGGGAAUGGGAAGCACUGUCUGCCGGAAGGGGCACCUCAUCGAGUCAAUGGGAAAGUGAGUGGGCAACUUCGCGUGGGCCACAUGCCCGUGCACUUCACCGACGUGGACCUGCACGCUUACAUCGUGGGCAAUGACGGCAGAGCCUACACGGCCAUCAGCCACAUCCCACAGCCGGCCGCCCAGGCCCUUCUCCCACUCACGCCAAUCGGAGGCCUGUUUGGCUGGCUUUUUGCUUUAGAAAAACCAGGCUGGGAGAAUGGCUUCAGCCUCACAGGUGCUACCUUUAUCCAUGACAUGGAAGUUACCUUCUACCCAGGAGAGGAGAGGGUUCGAAUCACUCAAACUGCCGAGGGACUGGACCCAGAGAACUAUCUGAGCAUUAAGACCAACAUUCAAGGCCAGGUGCCCUACAUCCCAGCGAAUUUCACAGCCCACAUUGCUCCCUACAGGGAGCUCUACCACUACUCAGACUCAGUUGUGACCUCCACAAGCUCCAGAGACUACUCUCUCACGUUUGGUACCAUCAACCAAACGCAGUCCUACCGUGUUCACCAGAACAUCACGUACCAAACAUGCAGGCAUGCCCCCAGACGCUGGGCCGUCCCCACCACCCAGCAGCUGAACGUGGACCGGGUCUUUGCCUUGUACACGGAUGAAGAAAAAGUGCUCAGAUUCGCUGUGACCAAUCAGAUUGGCCCCGUUGAAGGGGACUCAGAGCCCGCCCCAGUGAAUCCUUGCUAUGACGGGAGCCACACAUGUGCCACCACAGCUCGGUGCCAUCCGGCGACAGGUGUAGACUACACCUGUGAGUGUGCACCUGGGUACCAGGGAGAUGGACGGAGUUGCAUGGAUGUGAAUGAAUGUGCAGCCGGCUUCCAUCGCUGCGGCCCCAACUCCGUGUGUGUCAACUUGCUCGGGAGCUACAGGUGCGAGUGCCGGAGCGGUUACGAGUUCGCAGACGACCGGCACACCUGCGUCUUGAUCGCCCCACCUCCCAACCCCUGUGAGGAUGGCAGUCAUAACUGUGCUCCUGCCGGCCGGGCCCGGUGCAUUCAUCACGGAGGCGGCUCGUUCAGCUGCGCCUGCCUGCCCGGGUACACCGGCGAUGGGCACCAGUGCACCGAUGUUGACGAAUGCUCGGAGAACAGAUGUCACCCCUCGGCGACCUGCUCCAACACCCCUGGCUCCUUCUCCUGCCGCUGCCAACCUGGAUAUCAUGGGGAUGGAUUUCAGUGCACACCAGACCCCACCUCAGGACUGAAGCCCUGUGAGCACCAGCAGCGUGAUGCCCAGGCUCAGCGCACCCAUCCCGGGGCUCUGCUCCACGUCCCACAAUGUGAUGAGCAAGGUCAUUUCCUGCCACUGCAGUGUCAUGGCAGCACGGGCUUCUGCUGGUGCGUGGACCCGGAUGGUCGUGAAAUCCCUGGCACCCGGACUCCUCCCAGCUCCGUCCCACCUCGCUGUGGACCACCAGAGCCCACCCAGAGGCCCCGGACCAUCUGUGAGCGCUGGAGGGAAAGCCUGCUGGAGCACUACGGCGGCACACCCAGGGAUGACCAGUACGUGCCCCAGUGUGAUGACCUGGGCCACUUCACCCCGCUGCAGUGCCAUGGGAAGAGUGACUUCUGCUGGUGCGUGGACAAAGACGGCAGAGAGGUGCAGGGCACCCGCUCCCAGCCUGGCACCAUCCCCGCAUGUAUCCCCACGGUCGCUCCGCCCACAGUCCGGCCCACACCCCGGCCUGACGUUGCCCCUCCACCUGUGGGCACCUUCCUGCUCUACGCCCAGGGCCAGCAGAUCGGCCACUUGCCCCUCAAUGGUACCAGGCUUCAGAAGGACACAGCCAAGACCCUGCUGUCACUGCAUGGCUCCAUCGUUGUGGGAAUUGACUACGACUGCCGGGAGAGGAUGGUGUACUGGACGGACGUUGCUGGACGGACAAUUAGCCGUGCCAGUUUGGAACCAGGAGCGGAACCCGAGACCAUCAUUAACUCAGGUCUGAUGAGCCCCGAAGGACUUGCCAUCGACCACUUCCGUAGAACGAUGUAUUGGACGGACAGCGGCCUGGAUAAGAUAGAGAGGGCCAAGCUGGACGGCUCUGAGCGCAGGGCCCUUUUCCACACGGACCUGGUGAACCCCCGCGCCAUCGCUGUGGAUCCAAUCCGAGGCAACUUGUACUGGACAGACUGGAACCGAGAAGCUCCUAAAAUUGAAAUGUCGUCUUUAGACGGAGAAAACAGAAGAAUUCUAGUGAAUAAAGACAUUGGACUGCCCAAUGGUUUAACCUUUGACCCCUUCUCCAAACUGCUCUGCUGGGCAGAUGCAGGAACUAAAAAACUGGAGUGCACACUACCUGACGGAACUGGACGGCGUGUCAUUCAAAACAACCUCAACUAUCCCUUCAGCAUCGUCAGCUACGCAGACCACUUCUACCACACCGACUGGAGAAGGGAUGGUGUUAUAUCAGUAAAUAGAGACAGUGGCCAGUUUAUGGAUGAGUAUCUCCCAGAGCAGCGAUCUCAUCUCUACGGGAUAACUGCAGUCUACCCCUACUGCCCAACAGGAAGAAAGUAAAUAUGGCCUUGUAAAGGACUUGGCGUUCACAAUCGGGAUCUGGACCCUAAAGAACAUUUACUGCGAACAAAGGUGAAGAAAGUGAAAAAGGAAUUGGCCAUGAGAAGUUCCUGGAUAUACAAUAUGAACAUUUUCAGUGCAAAAAGACUAUAUUUUGUGAAAAAUUUAUACCUCAAUCUUUACUACUGUAUUUUUAAAAACAAGUUAUUUCAAGUUUUAAAAAGGAGCAAAGAGAUUUGGCUAUGACCUCAUCUGCCCUGCCUUCCAAACCAAAGGUAUAGUUUUGCUGAAUGACAAAUGGAUGAUUUUAUUAUGCCAGAACAAUUUACUGUCUGUUCUAUAGUGUGGGUGAAAUAAGCUGAUCUUUAAUCCAAUUUCCAGUGGCCUGAUUCAUACAUAAUUAAUAAGCCAAUAACAACUUUUAAAAGAAACUGAAUAUCUUUCAAAAGGGACUACACUGCCCUGGCGUUAAUAACCCUUUAACACUGUUGGGCCAGAGGACAGAAGACAUUGGGGAGCUAGAGAGCAGGGGGAGGCACAAUAGAAGAAACAUUCACUGAACAUAUAGCAGGUGGGGACACUAUCAGACGGCUGCAGCUGCUAACCCCUGAGGACUCGGCACCACCCCCGAGUCAAUGAGACUUUAGGGGCAUUUGGAUUCCUGGUACAGUUCAUCUAACCCAGAAUUAUUAGCAACAUACUUUCUCAUGGUUUACGCUAAAAAACAGUAAAAAGAGAAUAAAUUUCUCUGAAGAAACAAAAGGGUGAAGGUAAAGACUUAGGUAGAAAAAAAAGAGAAGGUGCGUCCUAUUUUCUAGCAAUUAGUCAACAUAACCCAGUAAAUUUCACAAGGGUAAGUUCUUUUAAAUAAACCUUAACUAGGCACAUGCAGUGGUUUGUUCUGGCAGACUGUGGAUGUACUGUUGGUAGCUUCUCUAAGGUAAUGAAGUGAGAUAAACAUGAAGUUCAUUUUUCACUGAAAAAUGACUGGAUACAAUUUGCCUAAGAUUCAAAUUCAAUCCCACUGAAGUCAGUUAUCCUUUCUCUGGGCAGUUCUAAUACAGAAUAGUUGUCUUAAUAUUCUCACGCAAAGUUUAACCUCAUGACAACCAAAAGAA